GCCCGGAUGGUGGAAUCGGUAGACACAGGGAUUUAAAAUCCCUCGGCGUUCGCGCUGUGCGGGUUCAAGUCCCGCUCCGGGUACCA
rnacentral:tRNA from 1 species